AACAGAUAUGUAUUUCCUCACAGUUCUGGAGGCUGGAAGUCCAAGAACAAGGUGCUGGCAGGGCUGGUUUCUCCUGAGGCCUCUCUCCUUGGCUGGCAGACAGCCGUCUUCUCCUUGUGUCUUCAUAUGAACUUU
rnacentral:miRNA from 1 species